rnacentral:rRNA from 1 species
CCAGCAGCCGCGGUAAUUCCAGCUCCAAUAGCGUAUAUUUAAGUUGCUGCAGUUAAAAAGCUCGUAGUUGGAUUUCGGGUGGUGCCUGCCGGUCCGCCGUUUCGGUGUGCACUGGCAGGGCCCACCUUGUUGCCGGGGACGGGCUCCUGGGCUUCACUGUCCGGGACUCGGAGUCGGCGCUGUUACUUUGAAAAAAUUAGAGUGUUCAAAGCAGGCCAACGCUUGAAUACAUUAGCAUGGAAUAAUGGAAUAGGACUUUGGUGCUAUUUCGUUGGUUUAUGGGACCGAAGUAAUGAUUAAUAGGGACAGUUGGGGCCGUUUAUAUUCCGUUGUCAGAGGUGAAAUUCUUGGAUUUACGGAAGAUAAACUUCUGCGAAAGCAUUCGGCAAGGAUGUUUUCA